ensembl:lncRNA GBA1LP glucosylceramidase beta 1 like, pseudogene
UAGUCAUCACAUGACCCAUCCACAUUGGGAAGCCAGAAUUACUUGCAGGAGUAACCUAGUGCCUAUAGCUAUGGCAGGUACCUGCAUCCUUGUUUUUGUUUAGUGGAUCCUCUAUCCUUCAGAGACUCUGGAACCCCUGUGCUCUUCUCCUCAUCUAGUGACCCUGAGGUGAUGGAGUUUUCAAGUCCUUCCAGAGAGGAAUGUCCCAAGCCUUCGGGUAGGGUGCCUUCAGCCGCUACAAGAGCAGAAGCAGUGGGCAUUGGAUGGAGCUGAGUACAGGACCAUACAGGCUAAUUGCACCGGCACAGGAAUCGGAUAUAACAUCAUCUGGGUACCCAUGGCCAGCUGUGACUUCUCCAUCCGCACCUACACCUAUGCAGACACCCCUGAUGAUUUCCAGUUGCACAACUUCAGCCUCCCAGAGGAAGAUACCAAGCUCAAGAUACCCCUGAUUCACCGAGCCCUGCAGUUGGCCCAGCGUCCCGUUUCACUCCUUGCCAGCCCCUGGACAUCACCCACUCGGCUCAAGACCAGGGGAGCGGGGAAUGGGAAGGGGCCACUCAAGGGACAGCCCAGAGACAUCUACCACCAGACCUGGGCCAGAUACAUUGUGAAGUUCCUGGAUGCCUAUGCUGAGCACAAGUUACAGUUCUGGGCAGUGACAGCUGAAAAUGAGCCUUCUGCUGGGCUGUUGAGUGGAUACCCCUUCCAGUGCCUGGGCUUCACCCCUGAACAUCAGCGAGACUUCAUUGCCCGUGACCUAGGUCCUACCCUUGCCAACGGUACUCACCACAAUGUCCGCCUACUCAUGCUGGAUGACCAACGCUUGCUGCUGCCCCACUGGGCAAAGGUGGUACUGACAGACCCAGAAGCAGCUAAAGGCCUGUGUGGGUUCCAAGUUCUGGGAGCAGAGUGUGCGGCUAGGCUCCUGGGAUCGAGGGAUGCAGUACAGCCACAGCAUCAUCACAAACCUCCUGUACCAUGUGGUCGGCUGGACCGACUGGAACCCAUCAUUGUAGACAUCACCAAGCACACGUUUUACAAACAGCCCAUGUUCUACCACCUUGGCCACUUCAGCAAGUUCAUUCCUGAGGGCUCCCAGAGAGUGGGGCUGGUUGCCAGUCAGAAGAACGACCCGGACGCAGUGGCACUGAUGCAUCCCGAUGGCUCUGCUGUUGUGGUCGUGCUAAACCGCUCCUCUAAGGAUGUGCCUCUUACCAUCAAGGAUCCUGCUGUGGGCUUCCUGGAGACAAUCUCACCUGGCUACUCCAUUCACACCUACCUGUGGCGUCGCCAGUGAUGGAGCAGAUACUCAAGGAGGCACUGGGCUCAGCCUGGGCAUUAAAGGGACAGAGUCAGCUCACACGCUGUCUGUGACUAAAGAGGGCACAGCAGGGCCAGUGUGAGCUUACAGCGACGUAAGCCCAGGGGCAAUGGUUUGGGUGACUCACUUUCCCCUCUAGGUGGUGCCAGGGGCUGGAGGCCCCUAGAAAAAGAUCAGUAAGCCCCAGUGUCCCCCCAGCCCCCAUGCUUAUGUGAACAUGCGCUGUGUGCUGCUUGCUUUGGAAACUGGGCCUGGGUCCAGGCCUAGGGUGAGCUCACUGUCCGUACAAACACAAGAUCAGGGCUGAGGGUAAGGAAAAGAAGAGACUAGGAAAGCUGGGCCCAAAACUGGAGACUGUUUGUCUUUCCUGGAGAUGCAGAACUGGGCCCGUGGAGCAGCAGUGUCAGCAUCAGGGCGGAAGCCUUAAAGCAGCAGCGGGUGUGCCCAGGCACCCAGAUGAUUCCUAUGGCACCAGCCAGGAAAAAUGGCAGCUCUUAAAGGAGAAAAUGUUUGAGCCCA